AUGGGCAUGAAGUCUGAAUCGCAUUCCUUCCCUUCUGUUAGUGGGGAUUUUAAACCAAAAGUCAUCUUUUUGAAUGAUGAUUCAAAAACGGAAGGUUCUUCUGGAGAAUAUCUUUCAAACGGAGUUCUUUCUAGGGAUUCCUUGGAGACUCUGUUUCCAGCUAAGCCCGAUGGGGGUGAAAACCUUAUCAAGAGACCUAUGCCUCCUCCUGUCUUGACCGAAUCAGAAAGAAAGGUUUCCCAUCAAAGGAGGGAACAUGUUGGUAAUUUCAUCAUAACAUACAGGUAA